rnacentral:lncRNA from 1 species
GUUGACAAAGGGUUUACAGAAUACUCACAAUGGCCAUGGGUGAGGAUGGGUGGGGUUUUUUUUGGCAAUAUUUUACCCACAUGGUGUGGGGAAUUGUUCCGUAUACAUUUAGUUUGCACAUACAGACUAAUUGAUUGAUUGUUUCCCGGAGUCAUAAUGGGUCUCAUCAAUAGGCGCGUCGAGAAGCUCAUUUCCUGCACAAAAUUCUCCACUGGCUGCAACACACGCGUCCAGUGCUCAGGCUGCAACACACGCGUCCAGUGCUCAACCGUACAAGUUUAUGAAUUCUGGACAGGAGAGUGGGACACUGCCAUAUUAAAAGGGUGCUGCCAGAACAUGAAGUUUUAAGAAUCAAAGAAGUACCAUUGCAGCCUGAAACCAAUGAUCAAAUGUUUAGGAUCCUGUCUAGCAGUCUCUGUAAAAUCUUUCUGGGAGGAAAUCAGAACCAAGAGGAGUAGAAGACUCAAUUAACAUCAUUGAAAUUCAUAUGGCACGUAACCAUCCAACUUAAGAUCUCAUCUGUUCUGCUGGAAUUUGUGGCAAAUAUCCUUGGCAUCCAAAUGCCAAUGCCGCCCCUUAAAUGCCUCUACUGAAUCUACACAUCAUCAGUUCUUGCAGGUGCAAGUGUGGAAUCACUUCUGUAAUUUAUUUCAGGUUAGGAUUUCAAGCUUGAAGGUACUCAGUUGAAAUUGUGGGCAAGAGACGUGUUCGUGAAAAUUUGGCUAGUAUAUGAAAUCGUUGACAAAUAAUACGUGAUAAAUCACAUAGUUGUGAUAAGCAUCAAUGUUUAUCGAGG